ensembl:rRNA 5S_rRNA 5S ribosomal RNA
GCCUAUGGCCAUACCACCCUGAACCCACCUGAUCUCAUCUGAUCUCAGAAGUUAAGCAGGGUUGAGCCUGAUUAGGACUUGGAUGGGAGACUGCCUGAAAAUAUCAGGUGCUGUAGGCU